rnacentral:rRNA from 1 species
UACGAAGGGGGCUAGCGUUGUUCGGAAUCACUGGGCUUAAAGCGUGUGUAGGCGGACUUGUAAGUACCUUGUGAAAUCCCACGGCUCACCCGUGGAACUGCUGGGUAUACUGCGAGUCUUGAGCCACUUAGGGGCUGUCGGAACAGGCGGUGGAGCGGUGAAAUGCGUAGAUAUCGCCUGGAACGCCAAAGGUGAAAACAGACAGCUGGGAGUGUGCUGACGCUGAGACACGAAAGCCAGGGGAGCGAACGGG